rnacentral:rRNA from 1 species
AGUGAACGCUGGCGGUAGGCCUAACACAUGCAAGUCGAACGGCAGCACAGAGGAGCUUGCUCCUUGGGUGGCGAGUGGCGGACGGGUGAGGAAUACAUCGGAAUCUACUCUGUCGUGGGGGAUAACGUAGGGAAACUUACGCUAAUACCGCAUACGACCUACGGGUGAAAGCAGGGGACCUUCGGGCCUUGCGCGAUUGAAUGAGCCGAUGUCGGAUUAGCUAGUUGGCGGGGUAAAGGCCCACCAAGGCGACGAUCCGUAGCUGGUCUGAGGGGAUGGUCAGGCACACUGGAAAUGAGACACGGUCCAGACUCCUACGGGAGGCAGCAGUGGGGAAUAUUGGACAAUGGGCGCAAGCCUGAUCCAGCCAUACCGCGUGGGUGAAGAAGGCCUUCGGGUUGUAAAGCCCUUUUGUUGGGAAAGAAAUCCAGCUGGCUAGUACCCGGUUGGGAUGACGGUACCCAAAGAAUAAGCACCGGCUAACUUCGUGCCAGCCGCCGCCGUAA